rfam:Nematostella vectensis strain CH2 x CH6 NEMVEscaffold_103_Cont12679, whole genome shotgun sequence.
AUAAUGGCUCUUUUAAGAGCCAAAAGUGGCCAGUUAAAAGCCACUU